rnacentral:lncRNA from 1 species
UACAAAGCAAACCAGGAGAAUUUUCAUAAUACCCGAUAACUAGGUAAGACUUGGAAUAUUUGAAUUUCUAGGACAUGGGAUUGUGCAACCAUUCAUUUUAUCCCAUAAUAUUGAAAUCUCCCUCAGAUAAGCCUCUCGGCACCUAAUAGAGUUUUCUUAGUGAAGGGCUACCUUUCUGUGGGUAAUGGGGAAGGGCAAAAUAAACAAUCAAAUAAUAUCAUAAUUACGAGUGUCAAUGAUUGCUGGAACGGGGUGGGGGGGUUGGUCAUUAAAUUCUAGUUGUUUCCACUAUUCCAGUGGGAAUUGUGUGAAUGUUAGCAAAAGACCAGGGUGUUAUGAUCUGAUUGUGUUUCAUCAAUUGCCUUGAUUUUAGGUGAAAUAUGAUGUGAGGACAUAUCAUUAUUAGAUUUGCCACAGAUUCUAAUUUUUUUCUCUAAUAUGAGGCUAACCUUGAUGUCCUUUCCCAGGAAGAACAAUCUCUCCUUGAUCAGGGAAAAAUCAGCAGGGGCUUCCUCAAUUUUCUCCUUCAUCCCCACCACAGAGUCAUAGAGGUCAAGUCCUUUUCUUGUUAAACCUAAAAAAUGCAAAUUCCAAGGUUGCUGCUAUGGUGUACUAAUUUUGUCACAGUGACAUGCCCUGUCACAGGGCAUAUGUGUUCUGUUAUACAAUUGAAAUAUUGGAUAUACUAUUGAAAUGUUUUUGUACUAUUGAAAUCUCGAAUAAACUUAAUUCUAAAAGAAGCAUGACCUUAACAGCCUCACACCUACUUAUAUCUUAUAGUUCUUUCUGUCUAAUGCUGGCAACCUAAGCAUGUUCCAGGCAAGCAACAUUCAAUAGCGUUUUACUGCUCCAAUAAGUUGGUUCAAUUAGCAAUGUCAAAGGCAGUCACUAAAUAGAUAGUGUAUAACCUUCGUACAAUCUCGUAUUAUUUUCCACUAAUUAAUAUAGAAAAAUUGAUGAAGUUUCUUUACAAUGGAAUAACUCAAUCACACUUCAAAAACUACAUACGGAAGAUAGCCACAACUUGCUGCUCUCGAAAAAAACAGAAAUGGCAUCUUUACUUUGUUUCAAAUCCCCAACCCUGGUGGGGGUCCAAAGUUAUGGCAGUUAUAAACCCUUAUGUCAUUAUAAGGAGGAAGGGUAAAUAUUAAGUCAGCAUCCUUUAAAACUAAGAGUGACUACAGUGGGGUGGAAUUUGGGACUUCAUGUCCACUCCCUGUUUCUGUUCUAUUUUACCUUUCCUGACCUCUAAGCCAACAGGAGAGGGGGAAGAGCCACACUUUUGUGACCCUUCUUAAAGAAUUGUGUUGAGUUUAGGAAACAAAGAUGGAUUUCUGAGGGGGUAGUUGAGGAUGGGCUGAAGGCACAGAAGAAACCAGCUGGUGUGCCCCUCUCCCCACUAGCAGACCCUUCUUCCUCAUUGAUUCAGGGCAAACAAUCCCCAAGAAUUCAAGGAAACUAACUUAGAGUUAUUUUCUGUUAUUUCUCUUUUCCUUGAUCUGGAGCCAAUGCAGAAAGAAAUCUAAAUGUGAAGGAAAGGCAGCAUUCAGCACUGAGCAAGUCCAUGUUGGAGAAAGUUCGCAGGGAAUUGGAAAUCCUUGUCCUCGUGGUUCCUGGCUCAGCAGGACCCCUGUGGGGCCUCUCCCUCUCCUGGGAAAGAGACUGCUCUAGAAGGUUUACUACACCAGUGAGGAGAAGAUGAGCGUAUGGGGGAUUGGCUGGCUGAGGGCGAAAUCAAGGCUGGAGCCAAGUGCGCUGAGCUCUCACGUGAGGUCCUUUGCUCCUGUUCCCUGGAGGCAUAAGUGGCUGGGGUAGAGAGAAGCAGGGGUAUUUCUUCUGUCAUUUCUUGCUUAGGGAGUGGGGGUGGAAAUCUCCCUGCAUCUAAGGAAAUUUGAAAAGACAAACUAUGGUUGCUUCUUCAAGCAAACCACCUCACCACACUAUCCAGGGGAUAAAACCUGCUUGCUGCUGCUAAAUUAUGCCAAGAGAGAACAUUCUGAUCUUUCUCCUCAAUUCUAGGCAUGACAGUGUGACUCGGUGCUUAAAGGCAUGGAGUUUUGAGUUGCAGACCUAGGUUUGAGUGCUGAAUCUACUAGCUUCAGGGUGUUAAAAAAGUUUCUUAAUCUCUCUAAACCUUAUUUUUCUCAAAGAUAAAAACUGGGUGUAGUUGUGAGUAUAGUGAAUGCACAUAGUAUGUGCAUUUGGCACAUUAAUUCACUAUUAUUCUGGACAUAAUUUCUCCUAAGAAAAAUGAUGAACUAAUUGCAGGGCCUAGCCUAAGCUCUGAGAAGUCAUUCGUUAUAGCAUUUCAGUCCAUAGUAAACAAGAAGAAAUGAGGUAAAGAGUUUAAACCAGGGAAGGCAUAGCUGUGGUCACCAAACAACCUGUUAAAGGCAAGCUCUAGGCACCAAACAACCUAUUACGGACCGAACUGUGUUCCUCAAAUUCAUAUGUUGAAGUCCUAACCCCAAGUACCGAAUGUGACUGUAUUUGGGGAUAGGGUCCCUAAAGAAGUCACUCAGCUGGAAGGAGUCAUAUUGGAUUAGGUGCUGGGAAUUGGCUGGCCAAGGGAGAAAUCAAGGCUGGAACCAAGUGCUGAACUCUCACAUCAGGUCCUUUGCUCCUGUUCCCUGGACCCUAAUCCAAUAUGACUGGCAUCUUUAUAUGAAGAGAAAGAGGCACCAGAGGGUACACACGCAGAGAAAAGGCCAUGUGUGGACACAGUAAGAUGACGGACAUCUGUAAGCCAAGGAGGGAAACCUCAGAAGAAAUCAAUCUUGCCUGCACCUUGAUCUUGGAGGUCCAGUCUCCAGAACUGUGAAAAAAAUGAACUGGUGUUGUUUAAAUCCCCCAGUCUGUGGUAUUUUGUUGUGGUGGCCCUAGAAGACAAAUAUACAACCCAAAGGAAUAUUCUUUCCACAUUCUCCCUCUUCCACUUUAUAGUUUUUUCUCUUUUGUUUUUUUUUUCUCUUUUACUUUCUUUUUCUUCUCUUCUCUUUCCUCUUUCCUUUGGUUUUUAAUUUUAAUUUUAAUUUUUGGCCUUCCUGUACCUCCAUUUGCCUUUCCAGGAAGCUGAAUUUCAGACAAUUAAUCAUUCAUCUCAUCAGUUCAGCAAAGCAAAUGCCCUCAAUGGUUUCUUUCGUGAUUUGAUUAUUAUAGGAUCAGAAUGUAACUUAUUCCUCUGGGAAAAAUGAAACAUAAAAAUUUCAGAAAU